AAUCUUAUCCCGGGCUUGACAUGCACGGAUUAACCGGCGGAAACGUCGGCCACGCCGCGAGGUGGAACGUGCACAGGUGCUGCAUGGCUGUCGUCAGCUCGUGUCGUGAGAUGUUGGGUUCAGUCCCGUAACGAGCGCAACCCCUGUGAUUAGUUGCCAGCGCGUCAUGGCGGGGACUCUAAUCAGACCGCCGGCGUCAAGCCGGAGGAAGGCGGGGAUGACGUCAAGUCCUCAUGGCCCUUAUGCCCGGGGCUGCACACGUGCUACAAUGGGGCGGACAGAGCGACGCUAAACCGUAAGGUCACGCCAAUCGCAAAAACCGCCCCUCAGUUCGGAUU
rnacentral:rRNA from 1 species